rnacentral:lncRNA from 1 species
CCCCAUAAACACACACCAAAAUUUUUUCACACAUUUUUUCACUUUUUGCACACACACACACAGAAUUUUGACUUAGCUUUUGCUCUACUCAGCAUAGAUAACAAGGUUAAAAGAGCUUCCUAUCUCAUGACCCCAUUGAUUUUCCACCCCUUUAAGCCUAAAUUGAAUCAAUUAUAGUGUGCUACCUUCACUUUGGAAGUUCUUUUCUUGAAUUGAAUCUCUAAAUUUGCAUUGGUCAAGGGAAAUAAAAA